UCGAGAAUCUUCGGCAAUGGGCGCAAGCCUGACCGAGCGACGCCGCGUGGAGGAUGAAGGCCUCGGGUUGUAAACUCCUGUCGAGGGGGAAGAAGGUCGGGUAACCGGCUUGACUUAUCCCUGGAGGAAGCACGGGCUAAGUUCGUGCCAGCAGCCGCGGUAAGACGAACCGUGCGAACGUUGUUCGGAAUCACUGGGCUUAAAGGGCGCGUAGGCGGGCGAUCAAGUCAGAGGUGAAAUCCCACGGCUCAACCGUGGAAGUGCCCCUGAUACUGAUUGUCUCGAGGGAGGUAGGGGCGUGCGGAACUUCCGGUGGAGCGGUGAAAUGCGUAGAUAUCGGAAGGAACACCGAUGGCGAAAGCAGCGCGCUGGACCUCUACUGACGCUGAGGCGCGAAAGCCAGGGGAGCAAACGGGAUUAGAUAC
rnacentral:rRNA from 1 species